UGUUACAACUGAAAUUGUCUGCAAAAUAAAAAGAUAAAAAAAAACCUUAAAACAAAAGUAUUAAUGUUCAAAGCAGUUAUUUUAUCGACUGUACCGCUGAGGUGAGAACAAUAGUUCCCACCUCCCCCCGAGACGUAGGUUCGGCUGGCGCAGACACUGCGCAGCCGCCGGCAGUCGUCACUAGACUUCCUUAUUAGUCUUACGUUUGUAUUCGAGUUCAGUUAAAGUUCGUUUUCAAACCUAGACGACUUACCUACAAAUAAUUUAUUUAAAAAAUAUAUUUAGUACAGCAAUAUCGUGUGCUGUUUAAUAUUAACACGAUUAAAAUAAACGGAUUCGACCCCGCUUUUAGGGGUUCAUGCCUUGCUGCCUUUCACGCUUCUUGCUUCGCUUGAUAAUCUGCGUCUGUGCUGAAAAGGUCAUCUCCGCACAGUAACCCGUACCCUGGUGAUCUAGCCAGCCCAGGAAACCUCCAGGAGUCCAGACGUGGUGCUUCAGCGGGUCAACCCACGUCCGUUGGCUGCCGGAAUUCAGGAGGGUAACCUACAGAGGGAGAGUCAGAUCGGCCGUACAACCACACCCUACAAAUUUGUGUGCUCAACUGCCUGUUUUUUUUUUGUAAUAUAUAUUCUUUUAACUGA